rnacentral:sRNA from 1 species
UCUGGCAGCAGCCCUCCUGACUGUGUGCGAGGAGAUCCCAAACCCGCUGAAGGACGGGGAUUGCGUCAACAGGUGGACCAGGGAGGAUUUGGAGCUAAUUAACAAGUGGGCCUUCCAAGGGGAGAGAGUGAUUCACGGGAACCCCUCCGGAGUGGACAAUGCUGUCAGCACCUGGGGAGGAGCCCUCCGAUACCAUCAAGGGAAGAUUUCAUCCUUAAAGAGGUAACCUAGGGGUGGAGCAGCACAUUCAGCCAUGGCUGCAUCAAUGUGUGCAGGGGGCAGAGCUCUGCACCUUUGGGAAGUACUAUAGGAGGCAGGUGUCCCUGGCUCUUCAUCCGUCAAUGUGGCCCUCACAGUCCACUAGCUGCAAGGAAGCAGGGGUGGUGGGGAACACCUGGUCUUUCCUUCUCCCCUUCAGCUCUUAAAUUGCAGAGAGUUCAGAAAGGGAAAGUCAUGCAUGGCUGUGCCCAUAGACCCUCAGCUGCUCAUUCAUUCAUUCCUGUAUUUGCAUAGUAAACAAGA